UCCUGUUUACAUGGGUUUAAAUCCUGUUUCUAUCA
rnacentral:tRNA from 1 species